GUAGGGGGCGAGCGUUGUCCGGAUUCAUUGGGCGUAAAGAGCUCGUAGGCGGUUUGGCAAGUCAGGUGUGAAAACUCCAGGCUCAACCUGGAGAGGCCACCUGAUACUGCUAUGACUUGAGUCUGGUAGGGGAGCACGGAAUUCCUGGUGUAGCGGUGAAAUGCGCAGAUAUCAGGAGGAACACCGGUGGCGAAGGCGGUGUUCUGGGCCAGUACUGACGCUGAGGAGCGAAAGCGUGGGGAGCAAACAGGAUUAGAUACCCUGGUAGUCCACGCCGUAAACGUUGGGCACUAGGUGUGUGUGGUACCGACCCCACACGUGCCGCAGCUAACGCAAUAAGUGACCCGCCUGGGGAGUACGGCCGCAAGGUUG
rnacentral:rRNA from 1 species